rnacentral:lncRNA from 1 species
CCAACAGGGGCUGCUUAGUGCGCUUUUCAGCACGAGUCUGGGGUGUCUACACACACUUCUGGACCCUGUUCAGUUGACUGUUUGAUCGACUGAUCGGUCGGUUGGUUGAUUGGCUGAUUGAUUAGUUUGGUUCCUUGUUAACAGCAGCAGGACUUUUCAAGGAUCGUUGACUGCAGUUGAUCUCUCCCACGUCCAGUAAAACACACCGCUGUCCAAUUGCUCAAAGCAGCAGAUAAGAGAGAAGUUCAGACCCUGAGGAAUGACUUUGCGUCUCCUUGGCAGCUGAGGAAUGGACGGCCAGAGGGGACAGGUGCGGAUGGGCUGCGGAGGAAGCAGGAGGAGGCGGCGCUGUCUUGCUUUAGAAGGGACUGCAGGCAGGCGGAGGAGCGGUUAAGGCACAGGACGGCCCAGCUGUGCGAGAUGGAGCUUUGCCUCGCUGCACUCCUGAAGCAGAAGACGGUACGGUGCUGCAUACAGCAUGCCGUGCAGGAGUUCGAGUGUCUGCGGGCAGCAGGUGAGGGGGGGGACCUGGAGGCCGAGCGCAGAGGCUGCGCGGCUCAGGCGGACGGCGCCAGGUACCCGUGGGCUCGCGGCGGACACCGUCACACUCGCGGGUCACGGUGCGACUUGUUUCAUG